UGGGGAAUUUUGGACAAUGGACGCAAGUCUGAUCCAGCCAUGCCGCGUGCGGGAAGAAGGCCUUCGGGUUGUAAACCGCUUUUGUCAGGGAAGAAACGAGUUUCUCUAAUACAGAGACUUAAUGACGGUACCUGAAGAAUAAGCACCGGCUAACUACGUGCCAGCAGCCGCGGUAAUACGUAGGGUGCAAGCGUUAAUCGGAAUUACUGGGCGUAAAGCGUGCGCAGGCGGUUAUGCAAGACAGAUGUGAAAUCCCCGGGCUCAACCUGGGAACUGCAUUUGUGACUGCAUAGCUGGAGUGCGGCAGAGGGGGAUGGAAUUCCGCGUGUAGCAGUGAAAUGCGUAGAUAUGCGGAGGAACACCGAUGGCGAAGGCAAUCCCCUGGGCUUGCACUGACGCUCAUGCACGAGAGCGUGGGGAGCAAACA
rnacentral:rRNA from 1 species